rnacentral:rRNA from 1 species
UACAGAGGUCUCAACCGUUGUUCGGAUUCAUUGGGCGUAAAGGGUGCGUAGGCGGUCGCGCAAGUCGGAUGUGAAAUCUUAGGGCUCAACCCUGAAACUGCAUUCGAUACUGCGUGGCUCGAGUACUGGAGAGGAGACUGGAAUUUACGGUGUAGCAGUGAAAUGCGUAGAUAUCGUAAGGAAGACCAGUGGCUAAGGCGAGUCUCUGGACAGUUACUGACGCUGAGGCACGAAGCCAGGGGAGCAAACGGGAUUAGAACCGUACGUACAGUCCAAGCCA